UCUCGAAUCGCUCUCGUGGUACUUUGAAGCUAUACGUCACAGUCACAUGGUGUCGGCGCUGUCUCAAGUCGGACAAAAUUUCUUACCGGCAUGCACUGCUUCAAGUCAGCCGCCGAUCGGUCUGUGCGGCGCUGCAUGAGCUCGAACACACCUAUUGUCUCCUUCAGAACACAUCGCGAUAUUUGGCAUCAGUUCGCGUGUGCUGGAUGUUGGUAAGUAGUCGUAAAUACGCUGUUCUAAUGUUUGAUAUAAUGUCUUUUCUGUUUGCAGAUAUUAAUCAGAUUAACGUUAGCUCCCUCAUGUUCAGUCACUGCAUUAUAUCUGUCACCUCCGCUGAGGUUUUGCUUUUCAUUGCUUUCUAUAUUAAAUACUAAACUAGGGUGAUUAAACACUGUCACGUGACGUGCAAUAUAUUGCACAAUAUAAUAUAACAUAUUCAUAUCAGGUUCAAAGUAGUACAAGUGUAGUUUCAAAAUGGUAUUUGUUGUAGAAGCACGGUAAAAAAAACAACACUUACCAUGCUUUUUACCACAGUAUUGGUAGUUUUAAUGUGAUUUUUGUUGUAAAUACAGAGUAACCACAACACUUAUCAUGCUUUUAAUGCCUAAUAAUGUUAAAUCCAAAAACUGUAAGGUCAAUAAGAACUUCUUUCCUAUAUAUAUUUAGGCUAUAUAUAAACCUAUAUAUUAUAAAUAAUGAUAUUUUCUUUUCUCUUGUUUUAGCUGAAAAGACAAAAAGGGCCUUUCGGAAAUGGAUGAAGGAGACAGAAAGCUGCAAAGGCAAAUAAUUGCAAUGGAUUACUUGCAGAUUACUUAGUCCUUCUUUUUAGGAUCUCUACAACGUCAAACUCAACAGCUCUUUUAAGAGCCGACCCUCACAAGAGCUACUAGUGAGUCGCUGCAAACCUGCCGUGAUCAGCCCUUUCCAGAGAAGGAAGACCAGUCCUUAUAUCAAAACAAGCUCAUCGAAGUCCUUUGUUUAGGGUGAGGAAGGAACAUGACCAUCUCAUGCCCAAAGAAGACAGAAGUCCAUUGAUAGCAAGUGAAGUCACUAACAGACGAUCCUAGAGGAAAAACGACUGAUGUGCAGCUACGGAGGAACACAAGAGGCAGAAACUAUGCAUGGCCAUGGCUUCUUCAUGAGUAUGGUUAUCACUUGGUUUUUGACCAAAUUAUGCUCUUGAAACAAGAAACAGAAGAGUAUGUUGUCCUGAAAGAAAUCAAGGCUCAAAAGAGAGCAUGCCUUUCUAAAAGAUCUUUUAAAACGGGUUGCUGUUAAUAUGGGUAAAACAGUUUUUGUUCAGUACUUAGCUUACAGUCUGUGCUGCAUUUUUAUUAUAAUAUAUAUAUUAUGUACUGCUGUUUUGUAAAGUUAAAUCAGGAACAGGCAACUCUAGCCCUUUUGCUGUCUCCUUUUUGAGGUGGAGAGUUUACCUCCAACCAUAAUUGAGCACACCUGAAAAUUUUAUCCAAAGUCUUCAGGUGUACUUAUAGACAGUUAUAGGCAGUUGGGUUUGAGGUUGGAGCUAAAUCUGCAGGACCGUGGACGCUGAGGGCCAGAGUAGCCCACCACUGUUUAAAUCAUGCAGAACAUAAGCUGACCUGGCUGUCCAUUAAACUACUUAACUUGAAUUGUCUGUGUUUUUU